rnacentral:lncRNA from 1 species
UUAACUUGAUACUUCAAUUAGGCGUUUCCACUGAUGAAACGCCUCAACCACCGGUGGAUACUUUCUGUCCACUUCCAGAUCUGUGUUCACCAUCGCCAGAGGCGAAAUGUCAAUGUACUCGAUCGUGAUUCCAUCUAGCGAUCCGCUCAAUUCAAUCGUUGCAAUUAAGAUAAACGAGCUAUAUCUUCAACUGCAAUAAAAAAGAAGUUGGAUUAAAUAUGUGUUGAAAAGAGUACCUGAUCGAAGAAGACCAGCGUUGUAAGAAGCUUUGUGAAGAGAUUCACAUAUUGCAACAAUUUUGAUGAUUGGUUUAGUUGCCAUGGUGGAUUCGGUUAGUGCUGCAAGGUCGUUGGUGGUUAACGUGGUGAUGCUGAAGAUGAUUUAUGGUGUGGAUGGUUGAUGAACUUUUCAUAAGUUUUUUUAAGAGUAAAUUACUUUUUGAGUCUCUGUGUUUUAGUGAUUUUAACCACUUGAGUCCAAAAUCAAAAAGUUAACGCCCUGAGUCCCUAUCCAUUUAUUUUAUAACGUUUUGAGUCCAAUUUUGUUCAUUUUAUAACGGUCCAAAAAAUGGACUCAAAAGGUUAAAAUUUGAACUCAAAAGGACUCAAAUGGUUAAUGAAAAUGCUUACAGGGACUCAGGUCGUUAAACUUUUUGCUUUUGGACUCAACUAGUUAAAACCACCAAAACACAGGGACUCAAAAAGUAAUUUACCCUUUUUUUAAUGAUGAAAUUCUUUUUGUUUUUAUGUAUUAAAUGACUAUUUUGCCCUUAUGUGCAAGGCACAUGCAAUGCUUAACUGAAAACCAGGUUAUGCUAAAGGACGUAGUAAUGAGUUUUCCAAAUAAAUGAUUGUGGCUGUAGUUAUUAAAGUUAAAUCUUAUCCACUGCAAUCUGGUACAAACAUAAAGGACGAAAAAUGCAAUUUACCCUUAAAACUAUAUUGUCCAAUACAAUUGUAAUGAUUGAGAUGCUAAAUGUCAGUUUAUAAGAUAAUCAAAUUACAUUUAAUAAGUUCUAAUAAUAAUGGAUAAGCAUUUAUUUUAAUUUAUUAAAAAUAAAAAAAAAAGAUUUUGACUAACAUAAGAAUCUGAUGAUUAAAUUAUUAUUGAUAUUCAUUCUUAAAAAUAAUGAAUUUUUCUUUUUGUAGAAUGCUUCCAUUAUUAAGAAAAAGAUAAGAUUAUCAUAUUAAGGUGACACAAAUGAAUGUUUUGUUUUCUAAUUAAGGUGAAGUGAAUUUGUGUCGAAGUCAAAUGCUUUAUGAAACAAUAUUACGUCGGAUAUUCUUUUAUAACAAAGAAAACAUAAAACAAAUUGUUGAUCAUAUUAGGAUAACUUUUUUUAAUCAUUUACACAAAAAGGAUAACUAAGGGCUUGAAUAUCAUAUGGGAAUUAUAUAUGUAGAAAGGGACGAUCUGAACUAAUGGAAGAACUGUAAACUCACUGGUCAGCCGGUCGGGGGAUAAAUAAAUAUAUUUGAAUAAAAAAAUCUCAUAUAGUUGAACCUUUUAAAGAUUCAUGAAGGAAACUUGAUAUUGGGCUUUAUAUAUUUGUAUGAUCAAAUAAUAUUAGGUGCACCAAUAGUUUGAAAAGAAUCGAGGAGGGUCAAAUUCUUAUAAGUUGAGACCGUUGAAAUGAAUUUUUAAAGUUU